AUGCCUUGGGAACCCCCAAGCUUUGCCUUUUGGGUCUUCUUAGAAUUAAAGUGGUGCGGAGCCUCGCAUGGAUGGCUCGUUGCGUCAGAUGAACUCUCCAACCUUGUGCUCUACCACCCCUUCAACUUCGCCACGAUCCCUCUCCCGCCUAUUACCGAUUUAGAGUGCGUCAAGGGAGUCUACGACAGUGAUGGAAGCAUCGUGGGCUAUCGUUAUGGAAAACGCCAUGAAUAUGAGCCUAAUCAGCCCGGGGCACAAGGCCUCGGCACAUGGUUCUACCAGAAGGUGGUCUUGUCAUGCAAUCCAUCUCGCGGUGGUGACUACACUGCCGUGGCCAUCCACUACUACGAUGGUAACUGGAUUUCCUUCACAAGAGCAAGAGAGAGCCGUUGGCGACUCGCCGCAGCUCCGGCCGACCGGAGCGAUGACCGGUACGCCGAUUGCGUCUACCACGACGGGAGAUUCUACACGGUGACAUUGCAUGGGGUGCUCGAGGCAUGGGACCUCUGCGGUCCACAAGAACCAAGCAAAGAGGUGAUCAUCAACGGGGACAGGAGAUACAGGGGGAUUCAUACCAGGUUUCUGGUGUCCACGCCCUGCGGCGGCCUCUUGCAGAUACGGACUCUUGAACGCAUUCGUCGUCCCGGAAAAAUCGAGGUGGAGGUGCUUCAAGUCGACGUCCAAGAAUGCAAACUGGUCAGCUUGUCUUCUUCAACGGCCUUGCGGGAUCACGCGGUGUUUGUCGGGCUGAAUCAUUCGGCUUGUCUGCCUGUCAGGGAGUUUCCGGAGCUCAGGCCCAACUGUGUCUACUUCACCACACCUCGGCUGAUACACCAUGACAAUUUCGGUCUUCCGGGCUGGAGAGGUGUGGGGAUUUACGACUUGGAAAAUCAUACGUUUGACUUUGGACCGGACUAUGGUGGAUUGUGGCCCUCUGAACUUUGGUACGUUCCGAAUCGUUGA
rnacentral:rRNA from 1 species